UCUAAAUACUGGUUCUCUACCUCUAGGUUGUAUGUUGUGUGACUAGAUGUUUUUUUUUUUUUAACCAAAGAUACAUGUGAUGGGUGAAAGGUAUUUUAAUGCAUCCCUGCAGUUUAAUUUUUCAUAAAGGUUGACAAGGAGAAAUGUAAUAUUGUUCAAUGCAUGCCCUAAACAAGAGGACAUGUGCCUACAUUGUCUAAUGGAAUUAGGAUUAGGUUAAAUAUUUUUUAAAGCAGUCCUCGGGGUUUACAAACAGAGUAAAUGUAAUAUCAUCUCCUUUUAACAUAGGUAGGUCUGUUACUCAUUUAUGUUCAUUCAGAUGCCUGAAUAGCAGUUGGGAUAUUGUCAAGCCCUGGCCUCAUACAUUCCUCGUCUUCUCUACGUGUAGGUGAUAUUAUAAUGUUAUUGUGGUUAUGGUCAUUUUCCAUAGUUGUUGUGUGUGCAGUCAGUAGGAUAUUGGGUAGAUCUAGGUUAUUGAGAGAUAAAGUUAAAGAAUUACUCCAAGCAUUAUAACCACUAAAGCGGUUAUGAAGCCAGGAGAACCCUGGCCCCGUUUCUCAGUAAUGGGGUAAACCAUUUUCAAAUGGUUUGCCCUGUUACUUGGGUCCAGAUAAUAAGAGAUCCUUUAUUUGUGCCCUAUACCUUUCUACUAAAGACAACUAAAAUUAGUGCUUUCUACUAAUGUAUGUGAUUUACAAACUUCACAACAGCAAUCAGAAAUAGAAAC